GGGCCGUUCCUUGUCUAUGUUCCUUGGAACAGGACGUCAUAGAGGGUGAGAAUCCCGUGUGGCGAGGAGUGCGGUUCUUUGUAAAGUGCCUUCGAAGAGUCGAGUUGUUUGGGAAUGCAGCUCUAAGUGGGUGGUAAAUUCCAUCUAAAGCUAAAUAUUGGCGAGAGACCGAUAGCGAACAAGUACAGUGAUGGAAAGAUGAAAAGAACUUUGAAAAGAGAGUGAAAAAGUACGUGAAAUUGUUGAAAGGGAAGGGCAUUUGAUCAGACAUGGUGUUUUGUGCCCUCUGCUCCUUGUGGGUAGGGGAAUCUCGCAUUUCACUGGGCCAGCAUCAGUUUUGGUGGCAGGAUAAAUCCAUAGGAAUGUAGCUUGCCUCGGUAAGUAUUAUAGC
rnacentral:rRNA from 1 species